GACGAACGCUGGCGGCGUGCUUAACACAUGCAAGUCGAACGGAAAGGCCCUGCUUUUGUGGGGUGCUCGAGUGGCGAACGGGUGAGUAACACGUGAGUAACCUGCCCUUGACUUUGGGAUAACUUCAGGAAACUGGGGCUAAUACCGGAUAGGAUCUCCUGCUGCAUGGUGGGGGUGGGAAAGUUUCGGCGGUUGGGGAUGGACUCGCGGCUUAUCAGCUUGUUGGUGGGGUAGUGGCUUACCAAGGCUUUGACGGGUAGCCGGCCUGAGAGGGUGACCGGCCACAUUGGGACUGAGAUACGGCCCAGACUCCUACGGGAGGCAGCAGUGGGGAAGAUUGCACAAUGGGCGGAAGCCUGAUGCAGCAACGCCGCGUGCGGGAUGACGGCCUUCGGGUUGUAAACCGCUUUCGCCUGUGACGAAGCGUGAGUGACGGUAAUGGGUAAAGAAGCACCGGCUAACUACGUG
rnacentral:rRNA from 1 species